rnacentral:rRNA from 1 species
AACGAACGCUGGCGGCAUGCCUAACACAUGCAAGUCGAGCGAGACCUUCGGGUCUAGUGGCGCACGGGUGCGUAACGCGUGGGAACCUGCCCUUAGGUUCGGAAUAACUCCCCGAAAGGGGUGCUAAUACCGGAUAAUGUCUUCGGACCAAAGAUUUAUCGCCUUUGGAUGGGCCCGCGUUGGAUUAGCUAGUUGGUAGGGUAAAAGCCUACCAAGGCGACGAUCCAUAGCUGGUCUGAGAGGAUGAUCAGCCACACUGGGACUGAGACACGGCCCAGACUCCUACGGGAGGCAGCAGUGGGGAAUAUUGGACAAUGGGCGAAAGCCUGAUCCAGCAAUGCCGCGUGAGUGAUGAAGGCCUUAGGGUUGUAAAGCUCUUUUACCCGGGAUGAUAAUGACAGUACCGAGAGAAUAAGCUCCGGCUAACUCCGUG